UGGGGAAUUUUGGACAAUGGGCGAAAGCCUGAUCCAGCAAUGCCGCGUGUGUGAAGAAGGCCUUCGGGUUGUAAAGCACUUUUGUCCGGAAAGAAAUGGCUCUGGUUAAUACCUGGGGUCGAUGACGGUACCGGAAGAAUAAGGACCGGCUAACUACGUGCCAGCAGCCGCGGUAAUACGUAGGGUCCAAGCGUUAAUCGGAAUUACUGGGCGUAAAGCGUGCGCAGGCGGUUGUGCAAGACCGAUGUAAAAUCCCCGAGCUUAACUUAGGAAUUGCAUUGGUGACUGCACGGCUAGAGUGUGUCAGAGGGGGGUAGAAUUCCACGUGUAGCAGUGAAAUGCGUAGAGAUGUGGAGGAAUACCGAUGGCGAAGGCAGCCCCCUGGGAUAACACUGACGCUCAUGCACGAAAGCGUGGGGAGCAAACAGGAUUAGAUACCCUGGUAGUCCACGCCCUAAACGAUGUCAACUAGUUGUUGGGGAUUCAUUUCCUUAGUAACGUAGCUAACGCGUGAAGUUGACCGCCUGGGGAGUACGGUCGCAAGAUUAAAAGCUUAAAUGAAUUGACGGGGUCAUAGCUG
rnacentral:rRNA from 1 species